CUCCACGGGCUUGAGCCAGAGUGCAAGGGGCCGGGUCGAUUGUUUAGCAUAUCAUCAGAAAGGCCGGGGGCACUUUUGCACGUGGAGCAGCCGCCACCGCAGGACCUGGUGACCUGGAGAGGCAGGUCUGGAGCCGCGCGGACCCCGGGCAGUAGACCGAGCAAGGCAAGUUACUUCUAUAGAAGGUUGCGCCCUUACAGAUGGAGCAAUGCAGGACUACUUGUUGCAAUUUGAGGAGGGAGGUGUCUUACCCCAGAGCCUGGCUGGAGAAGACUGAGGUUCAAGGCUUGAAGCCUAAGUGAUUGCCCCAGGACCUUGGAUGAUGGCCACAGAGAUAUCGAAAGUGACCACUCCGCUGAGCCCCUUGGUCCAGGUGCCUCAAGAGUGUAAGAGUUAAAGAAAGAAUAAAAAAAAAAAAAACAUGAACUACGGCUAGACACUUAAAGAUAGGUUUACUUUAGAUAAAACCUGAGAGGGGCUUCUGGCCAAUUUCAGUCAGGAGCCCUUUCUCUUCCAGACUAAGAGUAUAUAUUGGUUUUAGGGUGAGGGUGCUUAUCACAAGCUUGGAAUGUUUCUGUGUGGGGCAGAAGUUUUGGCAGGUUUGGAACGUCUCUGGGCAGAAGGGAGGUUAUCUUGGGGCUGACAUCUUUCCGGCAAGAGGUGGGUUAUCUCAGGACUAGCAUGUCUCUGGUUGGGAAGGAGUUUUGAAUGUUUCUGGUGAGAGAUGUUAGUUUGUGGCUUAUGGUCAUGCUGACCUUAGCCAUUAGGCUGAUGCCCUUUGGAUUUAGGUUUUUGAUUGGAUUUAGAAUAGGCUUGCCCAAGAUGGCGAUGCUCCUGCUCUGUCAAAAAGGAAGAAAGACAAGAGGAGGAGGUCACCAUAAUGAUCCUGGCGGAUGACUCCUGGGUGCAGGUAGCUGUACUGCAGGAGGAUAGCCCUCAGUCUGAGCCCUUUCCCCAGAGUGCCGGCAAGGGCAGCCCCCAGGCAGAGGCAACCAGGGGACUGCAGGAUGUACUCGGCCAUCUCUGAGAGCUCUGUCAUCACUAGCUGAGGCCAGAGGUACACACCAAGGAGCAGAUGUUGACUGUGCUGCCAAGGAAAUUCAGGCUUGGCUGCAAGAGCAUUGGCCUGAAAACAGUGAGGAGGCAGCAGCCCUGGUGGAAGACUUGACCCAGACCCUUCGGGACAGUGGUGAGAUAUACAACCUCAUAGGGAGAGGAUGGGAGCACCCUUCCAAGGUGGAGGAGUGUGUUGUUUCAGAGGAGAAGGUGGUGUCCAAGACAGAGUGGGGGACAGCGCCAUCCCUCUGCUCUGUCUGUAGGCAGUCAGUGUAUUCAUCAGCCUUUUAGUGUCCUCACUGUGUGUAGUGUCAGCUCCAGAACUGUGGUGUAGGAGGGGCUUAGAGCUGCAUUUGCAUAGUAAGCACAGUUUUUACUUAUAUUUGGAGAGGUUGGAAAGCUGAUGGAAGUUACACAGGGAGGAGCUGGAGACCCCUGCAAACCACACUCUGUCACCUUUACUUGGUUGUGCAAGAAACAUCCAAAUAGUUCCUGGAAUUAGAGAAAACAAUCUGAUGUUUUCAAAGUGAUUAUUUUUAUGAAACCAACAUAAAUGACAAGUAACCCAGCUAAUGACUAGAGACUUUCUGUGGUGUGAAGUCAUCCUGGGCUCUUAAAAUAGUAAUUGGAAACUUGAGUUCUUUGCAAUAGUUACUCUAUUUGUCUCCAAUGUUACUAAUAAGUGUUGGGAUCCCGACCUGCUGUUUAACUGCCCUGUCUCCCUCCUGGUUUUCCAUUUUAAACUGGACUCUCUUGAUCACCAAAUAUUUACUUUAGAUGAACCUGUGCCAGUAGAGCUGUCUCAAGGUUCAUAGGAUAUAGCUGUCUUUGUGCUGAUAAGAACUACAGAAGUUCAGAGAAGGUAGCGUGGAGUGGAGAGGUCAGGUCAGAGAAGGCUUCCUGGAGGAGGUGACACCAAAGCAGGAGGUUGUAGAAGGGAGUAGAAUUUGGAAAGGCAUAGGGCAAGGAGCAAGCAGCUGAGAGGAGCUGUGCUGAGCAGAGGCUGGGAAGGGCAGAGCCAAGGUAGUUUAUACCUUUGGGUGACAGGAGAGCUGGCUGAUUGGAGUGGCAAGUGUGUUUUUAGGAAGUGGUAGGAAGUAGAGUUUAGGGGAAGGGUGGGUGAGGGCUUGGACUGAAUGUCAUUGGCCUCAGCCGGUUCUUGAACUAGGGCCCAAGGGGCAUGGGAGGAAGCGGAGUGUGGCAACAGGAUGUAGGUUUGAUUAGGGUAGUGAGAGGUAGGGACGGGAGAGCAGCCGGGAAGCUGGGAAGGUGUGCAGUGAUGGUGGUCAGCCCCAGAUGGGACACAUGUGAGAAAGAACUGAAAGUCACAAUGGCUAGUAUUUCCCAAGCUCUUUCUGCAAGCCAGGAAAUAUGCUUGGCAUUUAAUAUGGAAAACUCAUGUAAUCUUUACCACCCUGGAAGAUAAGCAGGAUUAUCACCAGAGAUCCCUUAAGAUCGCUGUCUUUGUACCAGGCAAAACCAAGAUUUGAAUACAUGUGUCUGAAGACAUAGCCCAUGUUUUAAGCAUUUUGUCACAUGCAUGAUUUUUUUUUUGAGACAGAGUCUU